rnacentral:misc_RNA from 1 species
GAUGAAGAACGCAGCGAAAUGCGAUAAGUAAUGUGAAUUGCAGAAUUCAGUGAAUCAUCGAAUCUUUGAACGCACAUUGCGCCCGCCAGUAUUCUGGCGGGCAUGCCUGUCCGAGCGUCAUUUCAACCAUCAAGCCUCGUGCUUGUGUUGGGGACCUGCGUCCGACGCAGGCCCUGAAAACCAGUGGCGGGCUCGCUGUCCACACCGAGCGUAGUAACUAACCUCGCUAUGGAGUGGCGCGGGCGCCUGCCGUAAAACCCCCAAUUUCACAAGGUUGACCUCGGAUCAGGUAGGAAUACCCGCUGAACUUAAGCAUAUCAAUAAGCGGAGGA